rnacentral:rRNA from 1 species
UCGGCAAUGGACGAAAGUCUGACCGAGCAACGCCGCGUGAGUGAAGAAGGUUUUCGGAUCGUAAAGCUCUGUUGUAAGUCAAGAACGUGUGUGAGAGUGGAAAGUUCACACAGUGACGGUAGCUUACCAGAAAGGGACGGCUAACUACGUGCCAGCAGCCGCGGUAAUACGUAGGUCCCGAGCGUUGUCCGGAUUUAUUGGGCGUAAAGGGAGCGCAGGCGGUCAGGAAAGUCUGGAGUAAAAGGCUAUGGCUCAACCAUAGUGUGCUCUGGAAACUGUCUGACUUGAGUGCAGAAGGGGAGAGUGGAAUUCCAUGUGUAGCGGUGAAAUGCGUAGAUAUAUGGAGGAACACCAGUGGCGAAAGCGGCUCUCUGGUCUGUCACUGACGCUGAGGCUCGAAAGCGUGGGUAGCGAACAGGAUUAGAUACCCUGGUAGUCCACGCCGUAAACGAUGAGUGCUAGGUGUUAGGCCCUUUCCGGGGCUUAGUGCCGGAGCUAACGCAAUAAGCACUCCGCCUGGGGAGUACGACCGCAAGGUUGAAACUCAAAGGAAUUGACGGGGGCCCGCACAAGCGGUGGAGCAUGUGGUUUAAUUCGAAGCA